UGUAUUCUCCAUGAUACUAGGCUUGAGCUUUGUGUGCUGUUGGAAAAUGAAAGAAUCUUUGAAACGGAGACUGUGGAAGACUAUGAACCCUGCCCACCUCUUCUUUCCUAUCAGAAGAUCAGAGUUGAAAAAUUGUCUGAUCAGCAACAUAUGACCACAUUGUUGGAUCGCUACAGUACAGACCCGCAGUAUCAGCAACUCUUCAUCAAUCUGGAACCAUAUGUAAACAAAUCUGCAGUGUCAGUUCAAGCUCAUUUCUCACUACAACGCACAUACAUAAUUUUUCGCUCCCUGGGUCUUCGCCACCUGACAGUUGUUGAUUUGCAAAACCAGGUUGUUGGAAUAAUCACCAGGAAAGACCUGAUGUCUUUCCAACUGGAAGAGAAGCUGGGACUCCGGCAGGUAUCCCAUCGCCUGAUCCCCAGGAAUGAUGGGCUUUUAGACUAGGAAGCUAACUAGAUCAGAAAUUGUUCUUUUUGAAAUGAAAGAGAAGAAUAGGAACAAACUGAGUAUAAAGACUUUAUAUUUAAACUGUUGGGUUCAAAUUUCAAUACAAUCAUUUGUCAGGCUCGAAAGUAAGGGUAUGGCUACACUGAAACCACUGCUCGAUGCACAGAAAUGUUGGUAGUCCUUACUGUUGGCAAGAAUGGGUACUUCUGAGCCAUCUGUAGCCUCUCAGUGCAGGCAUACUGUUUUAACAAAUGCAAAGAAAGGAAGGAAAGAAAAGUUUUGAGAGUCCAUUGAUGGGGAGUUCCAGGUGCCGACCACUACUCAGAAAGGGCAGUGGUGCCAGAAGGAAAGGCUGCCUGCACAUGUGGCAUCUACCAGCUACUCCAAAAUCACGCACAGUGAAGACUAAGGAGAUUAAAUCUGGGAGUCAAGUAAAACACAAAAAUACAGCACAGAAAGGCAGAAGUGGAGGGAAAGGACGAUCAAAUUUUCACAUCCAGUCAGCUACCUUCCCUUCUCUGUUGCUAUAUAACAACUAAACUUGCUGAAUGACUGUGCAAGCAACCAAACUGGAGCAGAAACAUGCAGUCUGUGCCCCCACAGCCUAUUGGUGUUCUACAACUAUGUGGAAGGGGUUUGAGAUGGGCUAUUCUUUUUCUUUCUUUUUCUUUCUUUUUCUUCCUUUCUUCCUUCCUUCCUUCCUUCCUUCCUUCCUUCCUUCCUUCCUUCCUUC
ensembl:lncRNA